AACAAGCCUGAGUCAAAAGUUGUUGCCUAUUCAUGUCAUACAACUGCAGAAAUACCCUACUGACUGUCCUGAUGCCACCUGGUAUGCCUACAAGGAAACCUCAGAUAUGUUGUUCUUAGUGUCUUUGCAGUGCAUAAAGGUCUGGGUAUACUGUAUGGGUUCUAACUGUAUUAUGAAGUCAUGCUGUGAUCAUCUUGGGCAGCAAGGAUAGGAAGAGAUGCUCCUUUGAAACCCUCUGAUACUGCUUCCAUAUCUUUUGCUUUCCUUUUUGCUUCCUGUAUGCAUCAUUGGAAGAGUGACUGUUAACAUUUGAAAUGCUUAUCAAUUGUGAAUGUCAUGGAAUGCUGCAGGUGAGGAAAAUGCUAUAUUUUUUUUGAUAAAGAGCAGCAAAUUGAGGCAGAGCAUGGGUUUGCAUAAGAUCACUUUGCCAAUGGCCUACACAAGUAUACAAAGAUACCUGUGCCCUAUCAUUCCGGUGGUGCUGCUCUCACUUCAAAAAUAUUGACAAUUGAUUGACUGCAUCUCUGUGAUUCAGUUAUAGAGGAGAGGAGAAAUGUAAAUCAGUAACUGAGGUUAUUUUCACUUACUUUGAUGAGGAAAAAUGGGUUUCAUUUGUUUCAAUUAGACAGGUGUCUAUUUUGGGUAUUACAGUGACUAAAAUAAAAUAUUAGAGUGAAUGCACAAGCAAUGUUUGUAGUAACAAUUCGAGAUUUUUUUAGGGGUUUUUUUGUGUUUUUUUUUUUUUUUUCCUGUCUGGACUCCUAGAAUGUAUCUUAACACUAUUCAGUGAACAGAGGACCUCACCAGAGGGGGAAGUGACUGUGACUGUAUACCAUUCCUUUUGUGAUAAAGCUGUAACAAGCACAACACUAGAGCAUCGCUUUCCUGGGUAACCUUUUGUGUUUCAGUAAACACAGCCCUGCAGAUUUUUAAACACAUGCUUAAUUGUUUGUACAGGAAUACACAGACUGAAGUCAAUAGGAGUACUCAUAUGCUUAGACUUAAGGACAUGCUUAAAUAUUUCCGGGACUGGGGCCUGCCUUCUCCCAGUGGAGAAUUAUGCUCUUACACAGGCUUUUCCCCCUGUGUGCUUGUAUAAAUCUGGCCCUUUAAGUUUUACAGAGCCAAACUGCUCCAGUCUUGCUGUAGCCAUUUUGCAAAUGCUGACUGCUGGGUGCCUGUUCUGAUUCCUAACUGGUUAAUACCUGUUAUGCUUUUCCACAGCCCUCUCCUUUUUAUCCCUGCAUCUCACACGUGAUUGAAAAAGGUUCAUCCAACGAAGGAUCUUUGGGAUUGUUUUCAAGUCUUUUGUUCUGGACCACACUCCUGUGGAAGGCUGGUGAUGGCGCCCACAAUUGUCUGCCUCAGGUCAAAGAUCACCCCCUGGAACACGUGGGUCUCCAAGGACCAGAGGCUGGAGGCAUCAUGCUGUGCUGAGUCCAGGCAAGGUAUUUGCUGGUCGUCUGCAUGCAGCAUGAGAGACACCUAUGAAGACAGUUGAUCAAGGGUACACAACACUUACAGUCAAGACCACUCCUUAAGAACUCAAUGGACAGGUAAACAGACAAAUGAUUCCUGCUCAGAAUCCAUCUUUCCCUGCUUUUAUUUGGAAGGAGAGGAAGACAAAAUUCAGCCUAUAAGCGAUUAAGGGAAAUAAGAAAAAAAGAAAAGGCAUAGAAGAUUUUAAAGUUAUAAUUUCUUCUCAGCCUGAAGACUUUAUAGCAUGGAAUUGCUAGGCUUUUGACCCCUUCUCUCAUCAAAGGAGGAGGAGAGAAAAAAGAGGCUGAAAGGAAAUUCCAACGUGUUCUUUUGAUUGAAUAGUGCUACUGAAAGUUAAGGCUGAUUCUGUUUCAGGCUGUCCAUGCCUGACGUUAAACUUAAAUUUGUAGUUUAUGCCUAGCUCUUCUCUCUGCCAACUCAUGCCAAAUAAUUUUCUGCAACAUAGUAAUGGCAAAUGUCUUUCCAAAUAUCACUGCUGUUUAACUCACACCUGUGAUUGUGCAAAAGGUUCUUACUCACAUAUUUUGUUGUCUGUCACGUGUCUCAUUCCAGUUCUGUAGUUGAGCCAUUUCUUUAUCAAGGAAUAGCAACUAAGGUUAAGGUUAACCUGCAAAGAAGGAAAAUGAAGAAACCACGUGCUGAGCAGAGGACAGCAGAGAGUGUUUAUUACAGCAUGAUGGGCAUGGUCACACAACUGUCCAUGACUGGUAAAGCCUAAUGUAUGAAUUGUGCAAGCUUGGUCACAUAAGUAACAAAGGAAGAAUUUAUGUCACAUUACAAACAUUACAAGUUUUUGCAUGUAUGUUCUCUGUAAUGCACAUGUUGUAUUUCAUUUUCAUCUUUGCUUUAGUGUUUAAUUUAAUUCUUUUUUCCUUGCUGAGAAGUUCUUUCUGAGGGUGAUUGCCCAAUGUGGAUGACUUCUCUCAGCAGCUGGCAGUCUGUUAGAGGCAGGCCCUAUACCCACAGGCUUUGAUUUUAAUAUAAACCAAGACAUCAUUAUGUUGU